GGGUCAGUAGGUUGGUCGUGCCACCGGUACGUACUGGUCUCACUGAUUCCUCCUUCCUGAAGAACCGUAAUGCCAUUAAUUUGGUGUUGCGGGGAAACAGGACUGUUACUUUGAAAAAAUUAGAGUGUUUAAAGCAGGCUAACGCUUGAAUACAUUAGCAUGGAAUAAUGAAAUAGGACGAUCGAUCCUAUUUUGUUGGUUUCUAGGAUUGACGUG
rnacentral:rRNA from 1 species